GCUGCCCUUGUUGUAGAAGGAAGGGGCUGAGGUGUGCAGCUCCCAGAGCAGCUGUGCCAUGAGGCAGCUCUGUGCCCCCCGCAGCUCUCCAUCACUGUGCUGGGCUCUGCAAUGGGAGUGGAUGGAGCCCACCUGUGGAGUACUGCUGGGCACUAUGGAGUCACAUCCUUCCAGCAGCCCUAAUGCUGUGAACGCCCCCAGCUGCUGCAGCUCUGCCUGCUGGAUGGUGCAGUAGGGAGGAACCUUAACAAGAGGAAGAAAAGGAGGAUCAAAGCCCGGGGAGGACCCUUCAGCUGUUUGCUUUUCCUUUAUGCAGAAACUUUACCACGGUUGCCCUAAAAACCCCACCAAACACAACUAAGAACCCCUCCUCAGAAAAGCAAAUGACUUCCCAGAGCCUGAAGUAAGGUGGUGGUUAUCUGCUGGCACUUCUCCCCCUCUGCUGCAGCUGCCUUGGCAGAAGAAGAGCCUGGAGUGAUGGGGCUGCUGCAUGGCACAGGUGGAUUCAUGGCCUCUCAUUUGUUUGUUGGUUGUUUUGUUUUUACCUUUUGGACAUCUUUUCUAAACCAGAAGUGGUUUGUAUGUGUACUGCUGCUCAGAAUGUCCCGGGGCCUCUCCUGCUGGGUGGAAGCUCUGAGAGUUAAAGCUGCUCAACAACAAAUUUCUUUGAAAAGCUUAAAAGGAGAGGGAAAAUAGUUCUGAGGUUAAGAUAAAGCACUGAGCGUGGACCUCUGGUUCCUCCCUGCUGGUGCAUGGGAUGGUUUCUGACACCAGCUGCCUGGGACCGCUGAACCUGAGAGUUCUGAGCCAUGGUGCUGCAGUGACACAGCCCUCGGGGGUGGGGGUCCCUGGACCACUGCCAGCCCAGUCUGGAGGGCCUGGACAGGGUGAGCCCACCUGUCUGAGCCAUGCCAGUGUGCCAAGGGGUGUCUGCAGGUCUAGGCUCAGGUCCCACCACUGGCUGGUAGAUGGCAGCCUGUUUUCUCCUCUCUGCAGCGCGGUUUGGUUCAGCUGAUGGACUAAAUGCAGAAUGAGGAUCGAACCACACACCACUGCAUGCUUUGUAGGUGAUGCUUUGGGGACAGUCAUUCAUUUGAGAUGUUGGUACAGCAGGGAUCAUUUUUCAGGCAGAACAUAUUGUGGGAAAGAGGCUCAGAACAGAUGUACUCAUAGCUGAUUCCAUUUAUCAUAUUAAAAAAUAAAGAAAAGACAAUUUCAGCUCAUUUUCUGCUUAUUAGUUCAAAUAAACAGCUUUUCUAAUCAAUGUGUAUGGCAAACACAAUGCCUUCAUAAUUGGCAGUAGUGGUUCCAAAAUUAAUGAGACGGUCCUUGUUUAUUCUCUGGUAACGAGUCAGACAGUUAAUGCACUGUUCUAAUCCUACCCUUCUCCUAUUCCUUUGGGUACAGGGAAAAAUUAUGCUCUUGUUUUAAAAUUUAAAGAGUUUGAGGGAUUUUGUUCCCCGUCCAUUUGAGUGAGCACAGCCAGGAGUGGGAGCGGCUGCACUGAGCACCUGAGCAGCACUGUGGGAUCUUCUGCUCUCAUUUAUCCAGAGGGCUUUGUUGAUUCUUACUUCCCUUCCAAAAAUGCUGAUCUGAUUUAUGAAGUGAUAGAAGAGGUCAGGAGAGUAAUUUUACCUAUGAGAGCAUAGUGCUGUCCAAGUAAUUGCCCAGGAAAAGAGAAGAUCUGAUCUGCUGCUGCAGAUGUUUCUCAUCUGGAAUACAGACCCAUUUUUGGGGAUUACUGUUUAUUUUGAUGCUUUAUUAUACUGCAAUUACCAGGAAGGAAGUGAUGCACAGGAAUGUAUAUCUUUCAGUAACAAUUAGAGGGUUUAACCCCUUUCUCCCCUCUGCCUUCAAUACUUGUGAGCUCUUGGUUCCAUUCUUUCAGCAGGAGCAGAACCUCGAAGUGCUGUGGGGUCCUGCUGGCACCUGUCACAGAUGGUGCUGUGGGCAAUUUGGGGAUGCCUUAAUGCUCAUUUUCUGAGUGUAACUAACGAGGACCUGUUGGCUUUUUUUGCCACCUAGUGCUUCUGUCCUUGCAUUACUGUGAGGCUUUGGGCUGUGCAGGAAGGAGCCCCGUGCUGCUGCCCCCCAGCCAAAAGUGUUCAGAGGUGCCUUGCAGGAGUGGAAUGAACUGAGCCCUGCUCUGUUUUGCUAAAGAGCUACAGAGCAAGACGGCUAACCUGAGGUACGCUGAAUGGGAAGAAGCAAGCUUACUCCAUUACUUUUGGAUUUGGGGUUGUUUGUGACUAGGAUUUUAAGCCUGGCAAAUCCUUUACAAAGAUGCUGAACUUGCUGAUACGUUGCACAGGGCAAUGCAUGGUCACACUGCAGGCAGAGUUGCAGAUCUGUUAGCUGCACGAGGAGCAUUUUGUGCUCUGGGCCUGCAGCCUUCCAUGUUCUGAGACACCGUAGCAAUCACUCUGUGGUUAAGACCAUCACUUCUAAAGAUGGAUGUACUUGCCAUUUUAGCUGAGGGGAAUAGACAAGCUGUGGGGAGCAAACCACAUUUUCGAUGGUCCUUGCUCUUACCAGAUUCAUAUUUAUUGCUUUUUUUUUUUUCUUUUUUAGCUUGCAACACAGUUCAAAUUUAUCAGCACCAAAAGGCAUCUGCAGAGAGGAGGCAGAGGCCUGACAGCAUGCUGGCUGUGUCCCCACUGUGGUGCUGUGGAGCACCAGCCCCAAUGGGAGCCGGCUGUGUGCUGAUGGGUGUUAGGAGCUCUCCCCUCUCUGCGUGGCUCCAGCCCUGGCUUGACAAAUCCCUGUUGUAAUGCAGCUGUUCUGCUCUGGAGGGGAGCAGGAAGGUGGGUGGAUUAGGAAAAAUGUCAUAUUAGUGAUUUUUUUCCACCAAUCCAUGUCAUGCUUCUUGGCACCGUGGCCUCUCAGCUUUCCAGGCUGCUCGCCCAACGCCCCGUGAGCUGAGCCCACUGCUGCCCAUCUGCCUGUGGGUCCAAGGCUGCUCUCCACUCAUGCCUGGGGGACUGUGGGGCUGGGAGCUCUACAGAGCCUUGCAGUUGUUAUUAGUGAUAGGAUGAGAAGUGGUGGCCUCACAUUGCACCAGAGAAGGGUCAAGCUGGAUAUUAGGAACGAUUUCUUCUUCAAAGAGCAGUCACUGGCACAGCUGCCCAGGGAUGUGGGUAUUCCAGAGAGUGGAGAUGUAGCACUGGGAAACACUAUCAGUGGGCAUGGUGGGAUGGGCUGAGGUUGAGCUUGGAGAUCUUUGAGGUCUUUUCCAGCCUUAGUGAUUCUAUCUAUGAUGGUUGCUGUGUUUGGCAGACCCAUGCAUGUAAUGCGUUACCUUUUGGUACCUGGCUGUGGCAUCCAGACCUCCCAACAUUUCAUAAUCCACAAAUGGAAAAGUGGCACUUAAAAUGAAUUUAUUCAGGUGGGAGCACUAUAAAACAUAAGGCUUUUGAAUCGCUGCACAUGUAUCUGAGUGUCGGUGAAAAGCUCUAUUUGACUGCAGAGCUAGACGCUCAGAAGUGAUGUGUGACAUGGGCUGGAACAAAGGCAUCAGACCAGGGGAGGGUGUGAGGAAGGCAGAACCCAAACCAAAAGUCCUGUGGGAUUAAUGCUAACUUUUAUUUUGCACACUGCUGCUCUCCUCCUUGUUUUCCACCCUUUUCUCCCCAACAUGCCUUGAAACAACAGCGGAGCUGCCAGCAGAGCGAGUGGGUGCGUUUUCCCUUUGCUUAUUUAAUUUGAAGCUGUCCUUAAACAUAAGGUCAUUUUAUAGCCUGCUCGGGGGCUGCCAGGCGCAGGAAGCUACCUUGCAAGGAAGGAACUGGCCCGUUCUGUCUAAAUAUUGUUGAUUGUGUACCGAACAGAGACGGCUACCAAAUAGUAGCUCUUUGUGCCUCUGGUCGCCUCCUGCCAAAGUACUUUCCAUAAUUAGGCGUAAAGCAUAUUUACAUUCCUGUUGUCUUUGGUUGUGGGCACACACCUGUAUAUAUGUAUGUGUGUGUGUGUGUGUAGAGGUGCAGGCAUUCAUAGUCCUGCAUUCAGAAACUGCCCUGUGCCCGUGAGAGCAGCUGCAGUGACCGAUGUGUGUACCUGGGCUGUGAGCUUCCAGUGAUUUUGGGAUGCCCGGUGUGAGAGGCAGAGGAAACCCGUUGGGCUCAUCUGCCAUGCAUGGUUGUAAACCCCCAUGUAGAGAGAUGCUACCUUUGAACGGGAAGGCCCUGGAUGAAUGCUCCCAUUCAAAAUUCAUUGGUGUUUGCAUGGAAACCAGAAAAAUGGGCUUAACUCAAGAAUGCAAUAACCUCACUUAGGAGUGCUUUCUGCAGCAGGCACUCAUCGCUCGCAGCCUUUCUGCUCGCACAAAGAUAAAUGGUGGAAUAAAGUAAUGUGUAUAGCUCUAUCUCCAGCAUAUUUAUAACAGAGUGGUUGAUGUACAACAUCUUCCUAGCAUGCGUUGUUCCCCUUCCCUUCAUGAUAACUGGUAGCAGACAUUGAUUAGUUCAGUUUGGAGGAGAAAAUGUCAUGCAGGACAACUGGAUCCUUUAGAGGAGAUUCCUGAAAGGAGUCCAAGGAGUGUUGUGCGGUCACGUGGCGUUGGCUCCGUGCCUGCUUCCAGCUGCACACUUCAUUAAAACAGCCAAAUAUACAUUAAUUACUCUUCUCUCGUAACUUCCCUGCAUGAGCAGCAGUGUAACUUUCAUGUCCACACGAUCAGGUCGGAGAGGAGAGCUGCUUGUUGUGAUAUGUGUACGGGGGUACGUGCUCCAUCUUCAGGGCUGGGGCUGAAGUAUGGCUGUUGGUAGCAGCUGGGAGCUGUGUGGGGCUGGGCAGCAUUGGGAGCUCCUGCUCGGUGUGCUCUUGGGGUGCUGCAUGGAGUGCAGUGCUGGUUCCUGCUGCCCCUGCCUGCCCGGGGAGGUGAGCCACUGGCACCUGGGGUCUGCUCUGUCAUGUAGAGCUCCGAUCUGGAUUUGAGCUUUCCCAAGAUUGCCACAGCUCCAGGUGCUACAGGGAUUCCCAGCUCACCUCUGUGUGGAGUCUCCUCUGAUGGAUGCUCCCUAGAGAGCUCCAAGCAGACGCUCUCAAAUGGCCCCGUGUGGGCUCCUCUCCAUAGGAAGCCAGGGGGCUGCCGAUGCGCUGGGGCAGAUCCCUGCUCCUGUUGGAUGGCUCUGCAGAGCCUUCCAAGCACCGAGCCAUGCCUGCUCUUGCUGGGAGUGCGCUUCUGUUCCGGAUGCCUUCUGCGCUUUCAGGCGCUUAAUGGAAAUGGCAGUGCUGCUCUUGGAGGGCAGGCCGGAAAGUUUCUGCGGACUUGUCUGUGUGCCAGAGCGACAUUUUUGUCGGGCGGAAGCUGAUUUCCAUUAUGUCUUUGUCAGACUUUGCAGCCAUAGAGGGGAGUUUGGGGCUUUCUGUGUCAGAGCCCUGUACAAAUGUUAUCCGAGGCCUUUACCUCCUGCUAACGCUGCGGUUUUGUGCUGUGCGUGGGAAGCAUCUGUCCGGGUGUUAAGCAGGGGUGGCUCAGUACGUGCACUGGAAUCCUUGCAGCUCUUCACGUUUUGCUGGUUCUCUGAGGUACUGGAUUCUCAGGAGUGCUGUGGUUUGGCCCCUCUGGAAAUACAUUUGUCCUUUGUUAUGAUACAUCUGUCUUUAAAACAAAGUUUCCUCUUUAUCUCAGGUUUAAAGUGAAAAAUUUGAGGUUUGGAAGCAUGUUAGUUUCCUGUUCCAGAUGCAUCUGCAUUCAGAUCUGGGAACAGAGGUUUGACUGUAAUAAAAUAAGCAAAAACACACACACGCAACCACACUAAAUCGGUCUUGCAGGUAAAAAGGAAAAACAUACCCAGAAAACAAUAUUUGCAAAGACCAUCAGGCAGUUUUCAGGGUAGCUCUGUUUAUUUCAGAGUAACUCCUAUCACUGGUCAGCAAUUAAAAAUAACCAAACCCAAACCAACUCCAGACCCUCCCUCCCAAUGAACACCAUGGACUCAGCAUGAUGUAGCUCCUAUCCAAACAUCUGUUCCUCCGGUGCUGAGAGGUCUCCUUGCUAUGAGUUAAUGCGAUUCUCUACACAGAGGUUAAGUAAAGUUGAGAGGCUCCCAUCAGUGGCUUUGUGCCAUGGAGGCCAGCUCUGCAAAAAGAGUUUCACUGCAGAAAUGUCCGGUUCUAAUUCAGAGAAAAACUCAGGAGGGAAAAAACAUCACCUAAGCUGGGCUUUAAUGCUGUGCUGUUUGGUAUGGGAGAUGCUUCAGUAUGGAAAGUGGGGUGCUCUGCGUCCUCUUCCUUCUGCUGGCAUCUUUGCUGUCUGUCUGCUGGUGGGACUUCCAGCAAGGAGCUCAAUUUGGUGAACACAGAGUGCACAGCUCAUCAUAGCUUGGUCAAGAGGAGAUGAACUGUCUGCUUGGUUCGGGAAAUAUCCAAUGUGUAUAAUCCUGCAGCAGUGAUUCAGUAUGAGGAGCUGUGGAUGCAGAACUGUAUGGCUGUGUGUAACCCUUUCUGUGGCGUUUCUCCGGCAGGCAGACCCAACAACCUCCUGUCCCAUUCCCAAAGCACAGAUAAUGUCUAUGUGUAAAACAGACCGUGUUUGUACCAUCCUUCCUGGCACAUGUGGGUCACUGGGCUUUGUUCCCAUCCUGCCCAGCACAGCCCACAGGGAUGCCUCCAUCCCAAACAGAGCCACCUGGGCUGUACCUCAGUGUCUGAAGAGGCGGUUAGAAUUCGGGAUUUAGAGUGCGUAAGACUAUAAACUAUCAUGUCUUUUUUUUUUGCCUGCAUUGGCUCAUCUUUAGUUUUUUCCUCAGUUAGUUUUUGGAUUUGAGGCUGCUUAUUUUUCCUUGCUUUGUCCUAUCCAUUAAGGAUGGAAGCCAUGUUAAGACUUGGAUAAAAGUUUUAUUCCAACCACUGAGCCUUGCUUUCGGGACAUCUCUUCCUCCCAUAUUUCAAAAUGAAGCUAUGGAAGAGAGCACCAGGGUUUGCUUAAAUGCAGGUGAUGCAGAACUGAAACAGAAGAGUCAGUGCAUGGAGUUCCUAGCAGUCUAUCUUGUACCUAGCAGUGAGAUUGGGUCUUUUCUCCACCACCUCCUGUUGGAGCUGCUCUGGCCCCAAAUGCUGCUGUGUCCUGCAUGGCCCUGCAGGGAUGGGGGCAUGGCUGCUGCGUGCUGUGCUGUACGUCUGGCUUGGGAGGGUUACUGACAAACUGCAUCCACGCUUUUACUUUCCUGCCCCGUCUCCUCAGUGUCGGCUUUCGGCUCCUCUGGUCCCACAUCCUGCAGGGCUGCAGUUCAUACCGAGGAGCGCGAGCAUCAAAGAGGAGAUGGAGAAUAAGAAACCGCUUUAUGACAUGUCUUCAAAGUGCCUUUUUAAAAGUUCAAAGGACAAGAGGGAAGGAGGGAAUAAAAAUCAAAGGAAGAUCGGGGGGAGAGAAAUUAAAGCCUCAGAGAACUUUAUGGUGUGUUCUAUGUAACACUUUCAGUGCCGAAAUCAGGGCUGCUCCCAGCAGUGGUGUCAACAGCAGCAGUGCCUGCAGAGCUCCCAUCCUGCUUCCAGGCACCCGCAGCUGUGUGCUCCUACAUGAACUUCAUUCCAGAUCCACACUUCCCAUUCUCUUGCUUCCAGGCCAAGGGAAGGAUGUUGGCUCUGCACUGUCUGGGAGGGCCGGGGUCUGAGCUAAAUCACAGCUCUGAUCUGCUGUCAUCUCCACAGGUUGGAGGUGUCAUCCCUGACAGCCCACAGCUCCCAGGCCAGGAGCUGAUUUGCCAUCCUUGGAAGCCUUCUAGGCAAUCGGGCUCAUCUCUAUUGACAGUUCUUUGCUUCUUUUUCUUCCCAGAAAAGCAUCUUGCUCUCUCCCUUUCCUGCCUCCUACUGCAGGACCAUUAGCCCAUGCCUGGGAAAGCUCCAUCUCUGUUAAGGGAAAGGGACUUUUCCUCGUGAGAAAAGGUGGUGGGUCCGUUUGUAGGCUGGAGAAGAGGUGAAGCAGACUGUCUGUGUGGAUGCCUCAUGUGCCAUCUAGAGACUCUGCUGUGCUUACACAGACUGGGAGGAAACCCAGAUGAGUGAGCUAUAGGAUUGUUAACAUUCAUUAGGCUCUUGUUCUCACCACUUUCCUGCUUCUUUCUGUCUGUUUUAAAAAGCUCACGUGUUGGUGGGCAUGGAGGUGGCGUGGAAGCAACUCACUGCUGCAGGGUGCAGGUCCCAGGUCUGCAGCAAACAGGGCAGGGAUGUGCUCUGGGAGAAAUAGAGCAAUGGCUUUGCUGAUUUGUGUUGCCAUUUUGGGAGUUUUCAGAUUUGUGUGUUCAAAUGGAUGCAAAAAUCCUGGGAUACCAAAUUAAUUUGCUGAGAAAAGCAAGCAGGUAUCUGAGCAGAGCUGAUGGGUUCCUGCCUGGGGAGCUCCUCCAUGAACACGAGCAGUCCAUAGUUCUGUUGCUGGCCAUGUCUGAGCCAGGAAAUGCAUUUCACACUUAGAUGUAAUGGUGUUUCCUCCUUUGAUUGCUGCUAGAGAAUUUGUGGAGCGCACUGGUUCUCAGUCAGUCCUCCUCCCAGCCAGGGCAGCUCACCCAAACAGCUCUGUUAACAUGGAUAAUCUCUGGGGCUGCUGCUCAGGGGAAGUCAGACACUGCUGCAGAACUCCUCAUUCUGCCUUUCUUCAAUACCUUACAGGGCACCCUGCUGUGCUCCCUGCUGUGGGCAAUCAUCCACAGUCAGCAGCACUGCAGCUCUGGGGUCAGCCUUCACCGUGUGCUGUGCUGCUGUGGGGGUCUCAAAUCUCAGUGUGUGGGUGGUGUUCCAGAGAACGACUGGUUCAAGGAAUGCAUUCAGUGCCUUGUCUUCCUCCUAAUUUUCCCUAAAUAUUGCUGGUAAGGUUACCUCAUAGUGGGAUUCCCCAGCAUCUGCUCUCCCUCCAUCCUGCAUGUUGCAGGAUGUGAUGGUGCUGGGGAGGUCACUGCUGGCUUUGUGUGAACCAGGAGCCCUGUGAUUUCCACUCACCUCGCCCAGGGGCUGGAAAUAGAAAUGGUUUUACUGUACUCUCCCACACUGUGCUACAGACAGCAACGUGGGCUGCUGUGGGAACACUCCUGGUGCUGGGGUUCUUUUUCCCUGGAGGAAGCAGCAGUCGGUCAGCAGAGCUGAUGUCAGCACUUCCUUUUGACCAUCAGACGUGGCUCCUGUCUGUUGUCACAGCUGGUGACACUGCAAGGGGCAUUUGUAUCACAGGACAGAACUGCUCGCUGCAGGGGCAGAACGAAGAUGUGGUGCUCUGCAGCAGCACAACAGUGCUUUGGGGAGGUGGCUGGGAUGCUGGGUGGAGAGACUUCUGCAGUUGGGCAGUGCUCUUUGGUGCCCACCAGAACGAGGGGGAAGGAUGCAGGCGGAGGGCUGGAGCCUUUGGGGUGAUUUGAGCCCUGCCUGUGAGCAAGGGGCAGCUGCUGCAGCAAUGGCAGAAGUGUUUCCCAUGAGGCUGGGUCCUCCUGCCUGGGGGCAGUGCUGCAGCUGAAGGCGUGCUGUGCCCUCGCAGCACUGCAGAGCAGUGCCAACAGCCCCAUGAAGAGGAUAAAGGUGCUCUUUUGUUCUUCUAAGCUAAAAACUGAUGGCUGUCGGUUUAAAUUUUGGUGCCUGCCCUCCACCUGCUGCAGGUGGGCUGCUGGCUGCCUCCCCUUCAGGUUUAUGUGGUUUUUCAUUCUAUUUUGUGUUUGUGAGCGUUGCUAAGAGAUGGUUCCCCACGGAAGCUGCUAGACCUACCCAGCUGCAAAACUGGUGUAGAAGGGAGGGGGAACUCCCUGCAAGGCAAACCUCUGCAGCACCAAGGAGAAUCUGGGACAUCUCGCUCAGAUAUAUGUGGGCACGUGGAACAGAAACGCAGUUUGUUGCUGUUUGUCAGUGGAGCUGCAGUGACAGAGAUGCUCGGCUGAUGCUCGGGGCAGAGCAGGGAUGGGGACACAGUGCUGCCCUGCUCAGCACCGCGCCUGCUCCACGCACUCACUGCUCCCGACGCUGUUUUUGUCUGCUCUGCUCAGACUGCAAAUGGUUAUGCAAAUUCCUGAAUAUUUUCCUACUUCCUUUUUCAGAUGUCUAACAUUAUGUAUUAUUUUCUGAUACUUACCUAAACCGGGAAAUCUGUUUUCCAUCUCAUUUCAGUGGAGGUUUUCUUUCUAACCAGUCCUCCCCAGCAUUUUCCUUUAACACUUUGGAUUUGCCGAGUGAACUUUGCAAUAUGAGGAUAAAUGAAAGUGAAAAUGUAUUGCUCGUCACAUACUUGCUGUUUAGAGAGGGUUUGUUUUUUUUCCCCUCUGGAUUUGAAGAGAGAGAUAUAAAUCAUUGCUUUAAAAACAGGGUAAUUUAACAAGAUUAUAGGAGAGAGAAAAUCCACUUCCUACCCAAAGUAACAGUCUCUUAGCUUUCUCCACCUACACAAGCCAUAUGUAUCCUCUGAGCCGCCUGAGAUCCUCUUUUGUGUUUUUCUGGCAAGACUGUGGUAUCAUAAUUAAAGUCCAUGUGCAACGCUUUCUCUGUGGAGCCCGCACUGGUCUUUUAAUUACUCUGUAAUUGGUCAGAGCGUUGCCAUCGCUCAGCCCCCCAGCCUGCUCUGCUGUGUUUGAGAGGUCCCAGAGCUGAAGGGAGUUUAGGAAGCUCCAAGUUCCCGGCUCAGAGGCUUCUGCUGCAGAGUUGCUUUUGUUACCAUCUCCCUUUUUAACAACAGAGCCAAUGGUACCAAUAUAAAUAUAAAGGAGCGGCGUGAGCUGGAGUCGCUGUGUCCCCAGGCCAGAUAUUUCUUCAAAAUGCAGAGCAACAUAUUUCCGAGCUCCCCGGAUAAAGCUGGCUGUGGAGUUCUUCCAAGAAUUUUUCAAUUUCUACAGAUGAAAAUACAGUCUAAACCAGAUGCCAGCUGAAACGCGCUCACUUCAUACCACCUCGCCAAGGCAGCGCGCCAUGGGCUCAGCAAUGUGACCUUUAAAAUAGCCUUUCUAGAACACACUGCUAAGAGCACUUUCUAAAAAGCCACAAUUGCAGCUACUCUUAUUACUCAUAAUGUCCUUGAUGGAGAGGAAUACUUAAGGAACUUCAGCUUCAACGACCCGGUAGAGUUAGCUCCCUUUGUGGGACUACAGACUUGAGACCACGAUGAGAGUGUUGAUGAUAAUGAACAUUUCCUAAAUCAUUACUUGUAUAAGAGUAAAACAAAAUAAAAGCAGUGAAGCCUUUGCUUCGCCUUGCCCACGUGAAUGAAUGGCUCUGUCAUUUAGCCAUUUGUUUCUAGAAGUGGAUGCGUAUAUCCGUGCUUUCUCCAUGUAUUUAUAAAACUAACAAAUAUUAUACACACAGUUAUGCAAAAUGCAUUCAGACAGUGUAUUUCAAAUCAAUGAACAUUUUGAGUCAUCAGCCUAAAUGCUUUGUAGAUGCAUAACUACACACUACUUUCUGGGGUUGUUGUAGUAUUCUGAGUUGUGCUGAGCUGCCACUUCAUUAAAACUGUCACUUGGGAUCCAAUUCUUUGGGUUGGUUUUUUUUUUGUUUUUUUUUUUGCAUGUGCCAGGAAAUUUGGACUCUGAUUUAUAUAUGGCCAUCACUGCCAUGCUGGUGCACCACCAGCCCACAGCACUGCGUGGCACUGCAUGGCCCUGGUGGGCACAGGGAGCAGAAUAACAUGAAAUCCAGUUUGCUUUGGUCAGUUCAGGAGAGAUUUCACACCAGCAGUGAUGGGAUACUUUAGAGUUGGCUGGGUGGAGUUUUCCUAUCAUUUCUGAACUUUCUGUCCUUAAACUGAUUUCACUAAAUAUGUGACGUUUUGAGGAAAACUUGCCCUGUGUCUUUAACUUCUUUCAUGCUAGACAGGGUGGAAACAAGAUAAGUUUGCCUUAAAAGCCUUUGUUUUUUCUCACUUCUCUACUCCUUUGGUGACCCAACACACUGGUAUUCAGAUUUGGCACCUUACAGGGUCCUGGUUCUGCCAGAGCU